rnacentral:rRNA from 1 species
GUCCACGCCGUAAACGAUGAUCACUCGCUGUUGGCGAUACACAGUCAGCGGCUAAGCAAAAGCAUUAAGUGAUCAACCUGGGGAGUACGGCCGCAAGGCUGAAACUCAAAGGAAUUGACGGGGGCCCCGCACAAGCGGAGGAACAUGUGGUUUAAUUCGAUGAUACGCGAGGAACCUUACCUGGGCUUAAAUGUAGAGUGCAUGAAGUGGAAACAUUUCUUCCUUCGGGACUCUUUGCAAGGUGCUGCAUGGUUGUCGU